AGAAUCAACGCUGGCGGCGUGCCUAACACAUGCAAGUCGAACGCGAAAGUCCCGCAAGGGAUGAGUAGAGUGGCAAACGGGUGAGUAACACGUGGGUGACCUGCCCUCGAGCGGGGAUAACGUCCGAAAGGGACGCUAAUACCGCAUGACAUCCUGCCUUUGAACAGGUGGAGAUCAAAGCUGGGGAUCGCAAGACCUAGCACUCGAGGAGGGGCCCGCGCCUGAUUAGCUAGUUGGUGAGGUAACGGCUCACCAAGGCUUCGAUCAGUA
rnacentral:rRNA from 1 species